rnacentral:rRNA from 1 species
GACGGGGGGUGCAAGCGUUGUUCGGAAUCAUUGGGCGUAAAGCGUGUGCAGGUGGCUCUGCAAGUCAGAUGUGAAAGCCCAGGGCUUAACCCUGGAAGUGCAUUUGAAACUGCAGAGCUUGAGUAUGGAAGAGGGUCGUGGAAUUCCAGGUGUAGUGGUGAAAUACGUAGAUAUCUGGAGGAACACCGGUGGCGAAGGCGGCGACCUGGUCCAAUACUGACACUCAUACACGAAAGCGUGGGGAUCAAACAG